rnacentral:rRNA from 1 species
GGGCCCGCACAAGCGGUGGAGUAUGUGGUUUAAUUCGAUGCAACGCGAAGAACCUUACCAGGGUUUGACAUCCUGCGAAUCUCUUGGAAACGAGAGAGUGCCUUCGGGAGCGCAGUGACAGGUGGUGCAUGGCUGUCGUCAGCUCGUGUCGUGAGAUGUUGGGUUAAGUCCCGCAACGAGCGCAACCCACGUCUUUAGUUGCCAGCAUUUAGUUGGGCACUCUAGAGAGACUGCCGGUGAUAAACCGGAGGAAGGUGUGGAUGACGUCAAGUCAUCAUGCCCCUUACAUCCUGGGCUACACACGUACUACAAUGGCCGAGACAAAGAGCAGCAAGUUUGCAAAGACAAGCC